CAAAUUCAAUUAUCUGAUUAAUGAUUCUGGGUAUUAGAAAGUAUCUCUCUGCUUACGUGCGAACUUCGGGUUGGCACAGAGACAAUAUAAACUGUACUGAUGUCUAGUUUGGGAAAAAAGUCCUAGAUUUAUUUUCUUAUCUCAGUGAAUUAAUAACUGAAGACUGAAACCUGUGAAGCAAGAGUUAGGCAAAUGAAUUGAACUGAGUACUUAUAAACACCAAUUGGACUAAAUUAGAUCAUCAUGCCUGUGAUACACAAAAUAAUAUAUGAUGCUGAUAUUUGAAAUUCACAAGCACAGAAAAAUAAGCAAUACCACCAAUGCUAUGAGCACUUAUGAUUGCUAAUAUCCUUUUCAAACAAAUCUAGCUCCCUAAGCGAUGGUAACAAUGAUAAAAAUAAUAACUGCUCUUUAACAUGUUCGAUGUAUGCUAUAUUUUACAAGCCAGAACUACUUAGACAAACAUGUUCUCAUGUAGCGACCAAGUCAAGAGUUUGGUAACAUCAUGACCCAGAUCUACUUAAACAAAUUAACAAGGCCCUCUGUGACAGUAUUUAAUGUAUGGUCCGUUUUGAGUGACAUAUUAAUUUCAAUGAAUAUGACCUUCU
rnacentral:lncRNA from 1 species